rnacentral:rRNA from 1 species
GUCCACGCCGUAAACGAUGUCAACUAGCCGUUGGAAUCCUUGAGAUUUAGUGGCGCAGCUAACGCAUUAAGUUGACCGCCUGGGAGUACGGCCGCAAGGUUAAACUCAAAUGAAUUGACGGGGCCCGCACAAGCGGUGGAGCAUGUGGUUUAAUUCGAAGCAACGCGAAGAACCUUACCUGGCCUUGACAUGCUGAGAACUUUCUAGAGAUAGAUUGGUGCCUUCGGGAACUCAGACACAGGUGCUGCAUGGCUGUCGU